AUACGGAGGAUCCGAGCGUUAUCCGGAUUUAUUGGGUUUAAAGGGUGCGCAGGCGGCCAUUUAAGUCAGCGGUUAAAUCGUGGGGCUCAACCCCAUUCUGCCGUUGAUACUGGGUGGCUUGAUUGCGGUCGAGGUUGGCGGAAUUCGUUGUGUAGCGGUGAAAUGCAUAGAUAUGACGAAGAACACCGAUUGCGUAGGCAGCUGACCAGACCGCAAAUGACGCUCAGGCACGAAAGUGCGGGGAUCGAACAGGAUUAGAUACCCUGGUAGUCCGCACAGUAAACGAUGAAUACUUGUUUUCGGCGAUAUAAUGUCGGAGGCAAAGCGAAAGCGAUAAGUAUUCCACCUGGGGAGUACGCCGGCAACGGUGAAACUCAAAUGAAUUGGCGGGG
rnacentral:rRNA from 1 species